rnacentral:rRNA from 1 species
UACGAAGGGGGCUAGCGUUGCUCGGAAUGACUGGGCGUAAAGGGCGCGUAGGCGGUGCAUUUGGUCAGGCGUGAAAUUCCUGGGCUUAACCUGGGGACUGCGCUUGUGACUGGCGUGCUGGAGUGUGGCAGAGGGAGGUGGAAUUCCACGUGUAGCAGUGAAAUGCGUAGAGAUGUGGAGGAACACCGAUGGCGAAGGCAGCCUCCUGGGCCAGCACUGACGCUCAUGCACGAAAGCGUGGGGAGCAAACAGG